UCUCCUAGUGAUGAGAACCCUGUCCAGUUCUGCUACUGAGGCUGAGUGACGACAGAGGUUUGUCUGAAGAGA
ensembl:snoRNA small nucleolar RNA, C/D box 38B